rnacentral:rRNA from 1 species
GACGAACGCUGGCGGCGUGCUUAACACAUGCCAGUCGAACGGAAAGGCCCUGCUUGCAGGGUACUCGAGUGGCGAACGGGUGAGUAACACGUGGGUGAUCUGCCCUGCACUUCGGGAUAAGCCUGGGAAACUGGGUCUAAUACCGGAUAGGAGCCAUUUUUAGUGUGAUGGUUGGAAAGUUUUUUCGGUGUAGGAUGAGCUCGCGGCCUAUCAGCUUGUUGGUGGGGUAAUGGCCUACCAAGGCGGCGACGGGUAGCCGGCCUGAGAGGGUGGACGGCCACAUUGGGACUGAGAUACGGCCCAGACUCCUACGGGAGGCAGCAGUGGGGAAUAUUGCACAAUGGGCGCAAGCCUGAUGCAGCGACGCCGCGUGGGGGAUGACGGCCUUCGGGUUGUAAACUCCUUUCGCUAGGGACGAAGCUUUUUGUGACAGUACCUAGAUAAGAAGCACCGGCUAACUACGUG